rnacentral:rRNA from 1 species
AUACGUAGGUGGCAAGCGUUGUCCGGAUUUACUGGGUGUAAAGGGUGCGCAGGCGGGACUGCAAGUUGGAUGUGAAAUACCGGGGCUCAACCCCGGGGCUGCAUCCAAAACUGUGGUUCUUGAGUGGAGUAGAGGUAAGCGGAAUUCCGAGUGUAGCGGUGAAAUGCGUAGAUAUUCGGAGGAACACCAGUGGCGAAGGCGGCUUACUGGGCUCUAACUGACGCUGAGGCACGAAAGCAUGGGUAGC